rnacentral:rRNA from 1 species
CCCUUAGAUGUUCUGGGCAGCACGCGCGCUACAAUGGUCUUCGCAAACGGAUGCAUUCUCGAAGGAGAAUGCCAAUCUUGGAAUCUAUGCCUUGGUCGGGACAGUUGCUUGCAAUUUUUCGACUCGAACCAGGAAUUCCUUGUAAUCGUGACUCAUCACAUCACGAUGAAUACGUCCCUGCCCUUUGUACACACCGCCCGUCGCUCCUACCGAUCGAAGAGUUAGGUGAAUUGUUUUGAUCGAUAAGAUUUGACUAUGGUCAACUCUCGUUGGGAAAUUCUGUGAAUCUGACUGUUUAGAGGAAGGAAAAGUCGUAACA